rnacentral:piRNA from 1 species
GAUGACGGAUGGGCAUACAAG